CCUUCGAUAGCUCAGUUGGUAGAGCGGGGGACUGUAGAUUUAUAAUUGUGAUCCCUAGGUCGCUGGUUCGAAUCCGGCUCGAAGUA
rfam:Nematostella vectensis strain CH2 x CH6 NEMVEscaffold_605_Cont30727, whole genome shotgun sequence.